UCCUUCACAGCUUAGGAGGAGGAGGUAACCCUAAGGGUUUGUGUUUUCUAUCCUCUCCUCUCUAAUCUCUAUCUUGGAGACUUUUGAACUCUAUGAUUCCAGAUGGCCGUCUCUGGACCGAUGUAAUCGAUGUAUCUGAAUUCUAUUUACUCGAAUUCUUGGAGGCACCUGCUUUAUUUCAAUCUCCAUUGCUGUUUCUUGGUGAGAUCAAGAUAUUUUAAGCCAGAUAUCUCGACGGGAUCUACUGAGGAGCUGCUUUACCGGCAUCUAACAAAAUAUAAGCUCUGCUGUUCACUAGAGAUCUCAUCUCUGUUGGAAAUUCAACACCUUGACUCCAAAUGAAAAGACAGUCGCAAAGAGCACAGGAAAUGCAA